rnacentral:rRNA from 1 species
GGGCCCGCACAAGCGGUGGAGCAUGUGGUUUAAUUCGAUGAUACGCGAGGAACCUUACCAGGGCUUAAAUGUAAGUUGCAUAAGUUAGAGAUAGCUUUUUCUUCGGACUACUUACAAGGUGCUGCAUGGUUGUCGUCAGCUCGUGCCGUGAGGUGUCAGGUUAAGUCCUAUAACGAGCGCAACCCCUGUCGUUAGUUGCCAGCAAGUUAAGUUGGGCACUCUAGCGAGACUGCCGGUGCAAACCGCGAGGAAGGUGGGGAUGACGUCAAAUCAUCACGGCCCUUACGUCCUGGGCUACACACGUGCUACAAUGGCCGGUACAGAGAGCAGCCACUACGCGAGUAGGAGCGAAUCUAUAAAACCGGUCUCAGUUCGGAUCGCAGUCUGCAACUCGACUGCGUGAAGCUGGAAUCGCUAGUAAUCG